rnacentral:rRNA from 1 species
GAUGAACGCUGGCGGCGUGCCUAAUACAUGCAAGUCGAGCGAACAGAUAAGGAGCUUGCUCCUUUGACGUUAGCGGCGGACGGGUGAGUAACACGUGGGUAACCUACCUAUAAGACUGGGAUAACUUCGGGAAACCGGAGCUAAUACCGGAUAACAUUUGGAACCGCAUGGUUCUAAAGUGAAAGAUGGUUUUGCUAUCACUUAUAGAUGGACCCGCGCCGUAUUAGCUAGUUGGUAAGGUAACGGCUUACCAAGGCGACGAUACGUAGCCGACCUGAGAGGGUGGUCGGCCACACUGGAACUGAGACACGGUCCAGACUCCUACGGGAGGCAGCAGUAGGGAAUCUUCCGCAAUGGGCGAAAGCCUGACGGAGCAACGCCGCGUGAGUGAUGAAGGGUUUCGGCUCGUAAAACUCUGUUAUUAGGGAAGAACAAAUGUGUAAGUAACUGUGCACGUCUUGACGGUACCUAAUCAGAAAGCCACGGCUAACUACGUG